CUCCAUCCCGAUCCCUAAAAUAGGGAUGAAGAUGCUACAGAGGUUCCCCAUAUUUGGGGAAUCACCGUACAUCCCCAAAUGUAAUUUUGGUUCCCUGGCCCUUCGUUGUCCCACAUCUUCUUCCUCACGAAGUUUGACAAAGCCAAGAUCAUGUACUAGUCGCUAGAGAAAUGCUCAUUCCAGUUCAAGAAUUGUUGACAUUUGUUGAAGGACCAACCUAAAUAGAUUUGAUCUUGCACAAAGGAGGAUCAAAAGUGAUGGAAGACGAUGUCCCCAACCCUGACUCAAUGUUUGGGCACUACGGUAGAUUCAGUUUUUAAUAUCGAGGCAUAGAAUGCUCUGGAUAAUGACGUCAUCAAAUUGGAGCAGCCAAUGGGAAGGAAAGUUGAGAAAGAAAAAUGAAAGGCCCAAGGUAUGCUAGAGGAGAUCGUUGUUCUCAUAAGCUGAAGUAUAUGCUUUCGAAGGAAUCACGUGCUCAAGAGAAAGAGUUUUUUCGCCUCAAGGCCGAGAAGAUGGAAUAUUACAAGGAAAAAUAGGAAAAUAAAAGGCAUCAAGAGGACGAAAGACUAAGGUUGGAGGCAGAUAAACUUGAGUUUGCCAAGAAGGAAGCGGAUCAGUGUAUUAUGAUGAUGGAUGUGAGUACCUUGCUAGUACUGCAAUGAAUAUAUUUCUAGGAUGUGCAGAGGGAAAUCGCGGUGAGAUGCAAUGCUACAACAGAUUUGGAUAGAUUAGGAUUUUUUGGAAAAUGUUUAUUUCUUUAUUUUUUGUUUUAUAAAAUUUUUAUGAACGAUUGUACUAUUUAUAAUUUUUAUGGAUGAAAAUAUUAUUGAUA